rnacentral:rRNA from 1 species
ACGUCUUUUUACACACCCCAAACGUAUGAUGCAGAAUGUAGUCAAUGGGCCUUUAAAAGCCUAUAAAACACUAUACAACUUUCAGCAACGGAUCUCUUGGCUCUCGCAUCGAUGAAGAACGCAGCGAAAUGCGAUAAGUAAUGUGAAUUGCAGAAUUCAGUGAAUCAUCGAAUCUUUGAACGCACCUUGCGC